AUUCGACUUCAGUGUCUGGUGAGAAUCCAGGAGAGUUAAAUGACAUGAAGGAGAUAAAUGAAGCAUUCGAAGGUCAUGACGAUUCCGGACAUGACAUAACAGACCGUUUCAGUUCUUAUGAGGAGGAUCAUGAGGAUGUGUCUGAUAAUGAAUCAGAUUCGUCCCAUGAUUCGGAAGAUGACAGUGAUUUGGAAUUCUCCAAUCAAGAUGAGAAUUUGUUCAAUCAGGAGUCUAUGGAGUCUGACAGUCAGCUUGCAAAUACUCUACAAAAGAAUGGAAGCCUUGCUUCAUUGAAGGCAGCCUUUGAAGCUUUGGCCGGAAAAAGAACUUUUGACCCUGACUUGGAGGGACAAAAGACGAGUUCGGUUGCACCACAAGGAGGUGUAGAUGAAUCUGGUUCCACAACAGGAAAUACAGGGAAAAUAACAAACGAUCCUGUUGCUGGUCCAAUAUCUGUUCUGCCUCUUUAUGCAAUGCUUCCAGCAUCUGCACAGCUUCGGGUAUUUGAAGCAGUCAAGGAAGGUGAACGCCUGGUCGUUGUUGCCACUAACGUAGCUGAAACCUCUUUGACAAUCCCAGGUAUUAAGUAUGUUGUUGACACUGGAAGAGAAAAAGUAAAGAAGUAUAACUCUUCAAAUGGCAUGGAAGCAUAUGAAAUACAGUGGAUUAGUAAGGCUUCUGCUGCUCAGCGUGCUGGAAGAGCAGGAAGAACAGGGCCUGGGCACUGUUACCGCCUUUAUUCUUCUGCUGUCUUUAGUAACAUAUUUCCUGACUUCUCAUCUGCUGAAAUCUCAAAGGUGCCUGUUGAUGGGGUUGUCCUCCUUAUGAAAUCAAUGCAUAUUGGCAAGGUAAAUUUUGGUUCGAAUUUGAGACUCAAGUCAAAAAAUGGUUGGUUUGCAAUUUGGGAUAUAUUGUAUUGUCAUGACUUACAUUUAGUUAAGGUUGGAUCCAUUGAGUUCAACAAGGCAAUGUGGUAAUGUGGAAUUCCCCCUGUCAAUCUGUGUGCUAACUUUAAAUGACCUUUUUUAAAAAAAUUUUUAACGGUUGAAGGGGAGAAGCUUACAAGGGAAAAGGGGGAAUUUUGGAGGGGGGGGGGCUUGUGAGUCGAACCAGGGGUCUCACUAUCACUUGAUUAAUGUUCCUACCAGCUAAGCUAGAUCUUGAGGUCAACUUACCUUUUUCUUUAUUGUGUCUAUUGUCAUCCUCUCUUUUAUCUCCCCCUUCCCCAAAAAUUUUUUCGCACCCUCUUGGCUCUUCCAAUUGUAACCAUUCUUGACCCAUUGCUAUUUAAUGCUUUAACUCAUGAGGGUCUCAUUUUGUUCGGUACAAUCAUAUUCAGUUUAUGUCUUUCUAGCACCCUCAUUUCUUUGGCACAAUCAUGUUCAGUUUUUGUCUUUCUAGCACCCUCGUUUUUACCGUCAUUUAAAUUUAGGUUGCAAACUUUCCUUUUCCAACUCCUCCGGAAGCCACGGCCGUAGCUGAAGCAGAGCGUUGCCUGAAGGUGCUUGAAGCUCUUGACAACAAAGGGCGGAUGACUAGUAUGGGGAAAGCAAUGGCACGAUUUCCUAUGAGUCCUCGGCACUCCCGAAUGCU
rnacentral:lncRNA from 1 species